UACGUAGGCAGCGAGCGUUGUUCGGAAUUACUGGGCGUAAAGAGUGUGUAGGCGGUGCUCCCAGUCUGUUGUGAAAUCUCCCGGCUUAACUGGGAGGGUGCAGCGGAGACUAGAGUGCUAGAGGGUGGGAGAGGUAAGCGGAAUUCCUGGUGUAGCGGUGAAAUGCGUAGAUAUCAGGAGGAACACCUGUGGUGUAGACAGCUUACUGGACCACUUCUGACGCUGAGACACGAAAGCGUGGGUAGCAAACAGG
rnacentral:rRNA from 1 species